AAACGACUCUCGGCAACGGAUAUCUCGGCUCUCGCAUCGAUGAAGAACGUAGCGAAAUGCGAUACUUGGUGUGAAUUGCAGAAUCCCGUGAACCAUCGAGUCUUUGAACGCAAGUUGCGCCCGAAGCCGUCAGGCCGAGGGCACGUCUGCCUGGGUGUCACGCAACGUCGCCAACGCCCAGACCCCUGGGCGCGGCGGAUGAUGGCCUCCCGGGAGCCUCGCCUCCCGGCUGGCCGAAAGAGGGGCCCGACGUGACGACCGCCACGAUCCAGGUGGUUGAGCGAGCACUCGCUCUAGGCCAAGGCGUGCGCGCGUCGUCCCACGGCGAGGGCCCGUGGAUAGGGCGUUCGGCAGCAGAGCCCUCAGCCCGCACGCACGCGACCCCAGGUCAGGCGGGGCUACCCGCUGAGUUUAAGCAUAUCAAUAAGCGGAGGAAAAGAAACUAACGAGGAUUCCCCUAGUAACGGCGAGCGAACCGGGAACAGCCC
rnacentral:rRNA from 2 species